rnacentral:lncRNA from 1 species
GAAAACUAUUUGUGUUAUUUUAUGGCAAUAUAGUUAUGUACAUAUGUUCAAUAUGAAUGUUUUCUUUUGUAAUAGGACACAAUUGGAGACACAUUAUUUUACCAAGGCUUUGACUGGAAUGGUCUAUUUUCAGACAUGAUCAAUCUGCUUGGGGAAUUGAAGUUGACUGCAGAGAGCCAAUAAAAAGCCCAUGGAAAGACUGGUUCCCUAAGAAGUUUCCUGACCCGUGUCAUAGUAUUCUGAAGACUAGAGAAAUUCAACGAAGCCUGUCAAUCUCCCUUGUUUGAAAUCCCAAGGAGUAUGUUGGCAAUGAGAAACCAAUAUGGCCCAGUGGGAUUUCAAAGGCUCUGGGACCAUUGCAAAAAAGAAGGGUGCGUGAGACUCUACACAUGAAUUAGUGGAAUGUGGAGGACAAAGCAACGCCACCUAGGAUGUUAAUCCACCAUGUGGACUUCCCCUGUUCUGGGAAGGCUUCUAAGAUUUCCCCUCUCUCUAUUGUUUCUUGUGUAAAAGCAUGUACUUACUGUAAAUCCUGCCCUUAGAUCAAGACAACUUUGAUGUUAUUGUAUUUCAAUUGUCCUACAUGUCCCUUCUGAGUCACCCUUUCCCUGUGGUAUACAACCCCUGGGUCUGAGGGGUAAUGGCACUGGGAUCCACCAUCUUGUCUCACUGCCGCCUGAGAUGCAGACAGGGCUUCUGUUUUUAAGUCUCCAUUAAAUGUUUCUUUUUGAGAAACG